GUCUGGCGUAGAUUACGAAGGCUUUCCCUUUUCCUGAUGUUGUAGGAAGGGGAAUUACAUUUCGGCGGGACAUGUUUCGUACGGCUACGGCACCCGCCGGAGGGCCUGAGCCGUGGGGGUGCUUGUGAGGGACGCUGCAGCAAGGAUGCGCGGCUCGGGACGCCGUCGGCCUCGCCGGGAAGGUGGGCAAGCCCCUGUACCCGAGACUGGAGGGAGACACUGAAAGCUGUUUUAUGGCACAUUUAAUGAUCCAGCCCGCCUUUAAGCACCGAAAGGACCGUUUCCAAAGGAGAACAGUGGUUUUCAUAAAUUUGUUCUACGUGGCACUUGACCUCUCAGUUUAGCUACUGUGCACAUAGAUGAAGUCAUCAGCAGUCCCACUCUGCAUCAAUUUGACCUCAUCUUUUGCUCUAGAAACAGCAUUGUGUUCUCCUGACAGCUGUAAGGACCCCUUAAACAGCACCGCCUGGAGACCUGGGACACUACUCACCGUCAUGUAUAAAUGACUUCAUGACAGUUAACAAAGCAUAUCUAUACUAUUUUAUAAGAUUUAGCUAAUAGCCCUGUUGUUUUCAGACAUGGUACUAUGUUUAGAAUCUGGGUGGUAUAUCUCAUCACUGCUUUUCUUGCUCUUAAAUGCAGAGCAAAUGGAGGUUUUGUCCUGGUGAAGAUAAUGCGGAGCCCCUGGACCAUCAAUGAUCCAGGCUUCUUUUGUUUAAACCCAGGCCUUACCCAUGAAGCUACCGGAUAAUACUUAAGAAGUACUAUAGAAAACUAAAGUCUUGACAUCCAUGGACUUCAGGUCAAACCCAUAUACUACUUGGAUUCUCCAGUAGAAGUGUGAUAGCUUUUCUAAGAGUUAUCUUACUCAGUAAAACAAUGUCCUUUCAUGGAGGUGCAACAGAGAUUCCAAGAGCUGUCUGGAUGUGGAGAAUGAUCUCCCUCGGAGCAGUCCUGCCUGGAAAGGGUGACUUGAAUUGCUGCAUGAUGCUGUGUCAAUUCCUCUUUGGAGGGAUCUCAUCCUCAGGUUUGGCAAUUAGGAUAGUAUGUUAAACAUUGUAUUUAGUAAAAAUAAAUACAAAUAAGUUAAAAACAAA